AAGAUGUGGGGUCACGUCGGCAGGGUGCCACUACAUGUAUGCUCGCUCUCGCUGUCGAAGCAGGGGAACCCGGUGUGAUUCCGGGACUGCCCCGCAGCGGUGAGCGCGCGGCCCAAGGGCCGCCCGUGAGUCCGAGGACCUGCCGACGGCGUGCGACACGGC
rnacentral:ncRNA from 14 species